rnacentral:lncRNA from 1 species
UACCAUGGUGUUUAUACUUGCGUACUAUUGUUUGUACAGAUGAACGUGGUACCUUCAGGCAUUUGGAAAUUGCUCCCAAGGAAGAAUCAGACUUGUGGAGGUCUACAAUUUUUCAUCUGAGGUCUUGGCUGAUUUCUUUUAAUUUUCCCAUGAUGUCAAGAAAAGAGGCACUGAGUUUGAAGGUAGGCCUUGAAAUACAUCCACAGGUACACUUCCAAAUGACGCAAAUUAUGUCAAUUAGCCUAUCAGAAGCUUCUAAAGCCAUGACAUCAUUUUCUGGAAUUUUCCAAGCUGUUUAAAGGCACAGUCAACUUAGUGUAUGUAAACCUCUGACCCACUGGAAUCGUGAAACAGUGAAUUAUAAGUGAACUAAACAAUUGUUGGAAAAAUUACUUGUGUCAUGCACAAAGUAGAUGUCCUAACCGACUUGCCAAAACUACAGUUUGUUAACAAGGAAUUUGUGGAGUGUUUGAAAAAUGAGUUUUAAUGACUCCAACCUAAGUGAAUGUAAACUUCCGACUUCAACUGUAUAUCGGGAUAUGAGAUUUUGGCCAUAUCGCCCAGCCCGAUCUGCCACCAUAUUUUGACAUGGCUGUUUGACAUCUCACCCUUUCAAAAGUUUGAGCCUUUAUCCACUUUACUGUUGCUAGUGGUUGAAGCUCUCUUUCCUCUAUCCUCUCCUUUACCUUACCUUCUCUAACCCCACAGCACACAGUGCUCUCCAGGAAGUUUGUGGAUGUCAUGACUCAGUACAACGAGACUCAAGUGUCGUUUAGGGAGAGAAGCAAUUGAAGGAUCCAGAGACAGCUGGAGAUAAAUUAUUUUGGACUCUCAGAUCACGCGGCAGGCUGAGAAUGAGAUUGAGUCAGGGCACCAGGAUAUCUUCAACCUGGAGUCCAGCAUCAGGGAGCUCCAUGCCAUGUUCAUGGCCAUGCUGGUGGAGAAUCAGGGGGAUAUGGUCAACAACAUAGAGAAGAAUGUCUCCAACGCAGCCAAGUACAUAGGCCGUGCCAAAGAGGAGACCAAAAAAGCUGAGAUACUAGAAAAAAAAAUCCCAGAGGAAACUCUUCAUCUUUGGCUUUGUUCUGUUGAUACUGCACGCUGUCAUUGCACUAAUCGUUGGGCUGUCUGUUGGACUAACCAAUCCCCUGUAUGAGUCCUGUCCUGCUAUCUGUCUGAGUUGAGAAAGGAAGUUGUGCCCCUCCACUUCCCAGACGUAGCGCCCCAGUGUCAGCGGGGGGAGAGACUACGUCUUCUAGAGGACAACAAUAGAACCCUGAAACUGAAGCCUGGGGCUUUCAACCAACACAAGCUACAACAUAUACUGCUGGUGAGUCAUUGACUCUCUAUCUCUAUCUAUCUGAGGCUGUAGUGGUGGAUAUUAUUUUCCGUGGCAAGAGGCUGGAGUCUUCUUGGAAAGGUAAGGCCGUCAGAAGCUGUAUUUUCCCCCUUUGAUUCCCUGCUCUGGACUGUGAACCAUAAAUAAUUGUUCCUACAGCUAGACUGCUAAAGAUUUAAAUAAGUUGACUGUCUGUUCAGUUGUCUA